GACGAACGCUGGCGGCGUGCUUAACACAUGCAAGUCGAACGAAGAGCGACGGAAGCUUGCUUCUCUCAAUCUUAGUGGCGCACGGGUGAGUAACGCGUAAUCAACCUGCCCUUCAGAGGGGGACAACAGUUGGAAACGACUUCUAAUACCGCAUACGAUCUAAUCUCGGCAUCGAGGAUGGAUGAAAGGUGGCCUCUACAUGUAAGCUAUCACUGAAGGAGGGGAUUGCGUCUGAUUAGCUAGUUGGAGGGGUAACGGCCCACCAAGGCGAUGAUCAGUAGCCGGUCUGAGAGGAUGAGCGGCCACAUUGGGACUGAGACACGGCCCAGACUCCUACGGGAGGCAGCAGUGGGGAAUCUUCCGCAAUGGACGAAAGUCUGACGGAGCAACGCCGCGUGAGUGAUGACGGCCUUCGGGUUGUAAAGCUCUGUUAAUCGGGACGAAAGGCCUUCUUGCGAAUAGUGAGAAGGAUUGACGGUACCGGAAUAGAAAGCCACGGCUAACUACGUG
rnacentral:rRNA from 1 species